AUGAGAGCAAGCCACCAAAAAAAAUGGCCAGAAGGAAGCACCAUAUGUGCAGGACUUCAGACGCUGCAUGCUCUGCUCGCUGAAGGUGCCCGCUAUUUGUGUUUGGAUGUUGUUGCUGCCGUAUGUCAAGUUCGUCACCAGGCUCACAACUGCGGAAUCAUAGGCGCGAAACGCUUCAAGGUGUUCGCCAAAGCCCGUGUCAUUGAGCAGAAAGUUGCCUCGCUCAACCAAAUUGCACCUGUCAUUGAUGCACGGCGAGGGCACUCGGAAUCUGGUGUUUCUCCGUUGCGAAGCAUGCGAUGUUGA
rnacentral:rRNA from 1 species